CACGUAGGGCGCAAGCGUUGUCCGGAAUUAUUGGGCGUAAAGAGCUCGUAGGCGGUUCGAUAAGUCAGGUGUAAAAACUCCAGGCUCAACUUGGAGAGGCCACCUGAUACUGUCGUGACUAGAGUCCGGUAGAGGAGCACGGAAUUCCUGGUGUAGCGGUGAAAUGCGCAGAUAUCAGGAGGAACACCAGCGGCGAAGGCGGUGCUCUGGGCCGGAACUGACGCUGAGGAGCGAAAGCGUGGGGAGCGAACAGG
rnacentral:rRNA from 1 species